rnacentral:rRNA from 1 species
AGUGAACGCUGGCGGUAGGCCUAACACAUGCAAGUCGAACGGCAGCACAGUAAGAGCUUGCUCUUACGGGUGGCGAGUGGCGGACGGGUGAGGAAUACAUCGGAAUCUACUUUUUCGUGGGGGAUAACGUAGGGAAACUUACGCUAAUACCGCAUACGACCUACGGGUGAAAGCAGGGGAUCUUCGGACCUUGCGCGAUUGAAUGAGCCGAUGCCGGAUUAGCUAGUUGGCGGGGUAAAGGCCCACCAAGGCGACGAUCCGUAGCUGGUCUGAGAGGAUGAUCAGCCACACUGGAACUGAGACACGGUCCAGACUCCUACGGGAGGCAGCAGUGGGGAAUAUUGGCCAAUGGGCGCAAGCCUGAUCCAGCCAUACCGCGUGGGUGAAGAAGGCCUUCGGGUUGUAAAGCCCUUUUGUUGGGAAAGAAAAGCAGCAGGUUAAUACCCCGCUGUUCUGACGGUACCCAAAGAAUAAGCACCGGCUAACUUCGUG